GAUGAACGCUGGCGGCGUGCCUAAUACAUGCAAGUCGAGCGAACAGACGAGGAGCUUGCUCCUCUGACGUUAGCGGCGGACGGGUGAGUAACACGUGGAUAACCUACCUAUAAGACUGGGAUAACUUCGGGAAACCGGAGCUACUACCGGAUAAUAUAUUGAACCGCAUGGUUCAAUAGUUAAAGACGGUUUUGCUGUCACUUAUAGAUGGAUCCGCGCCGCAUUAGCUAGUUGGUAAGGUAACGGCUUACCAAGGCAACGAUGCGUAGCCGACCUGAGAGGGUGAUCGGCCACACUGGAACUGAGACACGGUCCAGACUCCUACGGGAGGCAGCAGUAGGGAAUCUUCCGCAAUGGGCGAAAUCCUGACGGAGCAACGCCGCGUGAGUGAUGAAGGUCUUCGGAUCGUAAAACUCUGUUAUUAGGGAAGAACAAAUGUGUAAGUAACUAUGCACGUCUUGACGGUACCUAAUCAGAAAGCCACGGCUAACUACGUG
rnacentral:rRNA from 1 species